rnacentral:tRNA from 1 species
GUCUCUGUGGCGCAAUCGGUUAGUGCGUUUGGCUGUUAACUGAAAGAUUGGUGGUUCAAGCCCACCCAGGGACG